rnacentral:rRNA from 1 species
GACGAACGCUGGCGGCGUGCCUAAUACAUGCAAGUAGAACGCACAGUUUAUACCGUAGCUUGCUCCACCAUAGACUGUGAGUUGCGAACGGGUGAGUAACGCGUAGGUAACCUGCCUGGUAGCGGGGGAUAACUAUUGGAAACGAUAGCUAAUACCGCAUAAUAUUAAUUAUUGCAUGAUAAUUAAUUGAAAGGUGCAAUUGCACCACUACCAGAUGGACCUGCGUUGUAUUAGCUAGUAGGUGAGGUAACGGCUCACCUAGGCGACGAUACAUAGCCGACCUGAGAGGGUGAUCGGCCACACUGGGACCGAGACACGGCCCAGACUCCUACGGGAGGCAGCAGUAGGGAAUCUUCGGCAAUGGACGAAAGUCUGACCGAGCAACGCCGCGUGAGUGAAGAAGGUUUUCGGAUCGUAAAGCUCUGUUGUAAGAGAAGAACGGGUGUGGGAGUGGAAAGUUCACACUGUGACGGUAUCUUACCAGAAAGGGACGGCUAACUACGUG